GCCAUGCAUGGCGCUUCAUUUUCACAUUCAAUUACGUCACGGCGCGUUCGCUUCCUCUCCCCCGCGGUAUCCGCAAUAAACGGAAACGAGUUCGCGCAGAUUUCUCGCCUUUUAACUCCGAGCUCCACCUUGCCUGUCAUCGUCCUCCAUUGCUCCUCCCCGACUUCUGUUGCGCACAUGCCAUGCAUUUGCGCUACUGUUCCGGCUGAUAGCUGAUCCCGUCCCCGAGCCCUGUACAUAUCGUGGUGCAUAUUUGCGAACCCCUCUCCAUUAGUUGUCUCGCGUUGAGAUCAGUGUAUCACCGUCCUGCCCCUACUCUCUCUUUCUAUCUCCACCAUCUUCUAAAUUGCAGGAGCUGGCGAUCUCGCAAACUCCAAUGCGCAUGAGUUUCCACGAUAUUGAUGUCUCUGUGCUUUUGUUUAAAGUCCUUGCAGGUUCCCACCCUUUUCUCAUCUUGUAUUUUUUGUUUUGUUAUAGAUCGAGAUACAUUAUGCACACGAAGCCUAGAUCCUUCUCCUCGGAAAAUAAUGAAGCAUAGAAACUUGCCAUUUCCUUGCGUUUUUUGCAGCAUUUCCCCCCUUUGUUGCAGAUUUACCAUUCCCUCGCAUGCAGAAUUGCAGAUUGUCUUGAUUUUCCUCACCAUGCUGCUGGAUAACAAUCAAUAAUUCAGAUUUUCUCAUCAUCGUUGGAUACCCGCAGAGAAAAUUUAAGUUGGAUGAUUGAAGAGAUACCAUAUUUGAUAUCAUAGGGCAAUUUGCUCAUCUGUUUUCUGUCAUGAGAAGGUAAUUUCUGAUCCCCCAAUUUGCUUCUUUACAUAUCAGUUAUUUUUAUUCUUUCCAAGACGGCAGUCUGUAUUUUCCAUAUUCUAAUGUAGAUUGACUAUUGCCAGUAUUAUUUGAUUGAUCUACUUACUUCAUUGUUGUUUUUAUUAUUUUCUUUGUUCCGGUGGGAUAACAGUUUCUGAUUUAUUAACGGAUCAGUAAAAUACAUAUAAUGACCAUUUUUCCUAUGUCUUUAAUAAUUUCCUACCAUUUAAGCAUCGGAUAACCAAUGGAUCUAAUCUUAUAUAUCUUGAAUUCUCAAUCGUACAUAGAUUUGUUCACUAUCCCUGACCAUGCAUGAAAACAAAAAGAUGAAGAACAUGUUUGGUCAAAUUAUAACUUGCAGGUUUUGCGUUGUUUGGAUUCUUUUUUCGAAUGAUUAUUUUACUAUUCCACGUGAGUUAUUAGAUAUAGAAGACACCACUCCAGUCAGUUUUAAAUAUUUUAUCACUAAUAAUGCAGGUCCAGGAGGCUCGAGAGUCCACCUAUACAUGAAGUUCAAGUUCAGGAUAAAGUGACGUCAAGUAUUUCCCUCAAAAAAGGGGUUAAGGGACGUGUAAUCAUUUUCUCCUGAUAUUUAUAUGUUCAAAAAACAUUGGUGCCUGCCACCUAUCAAUGUGUGACGUAAUAGAAGUUAUAAAUUAUGUGAAAAAAUUAUUUUAUUAAUUCAUCUUUAAUUUUCCUUUU